rnacentral:tRNA from 1 species
UGUCACGUGGCUGAUGGGUUAGGCAGAGGUCAACAAAACCUCCAAAGGCGGUUCGAAUCCGUCCGUGGCGGC